GUGGUAGCAAAGAGUACUUAGGGAGACAUCCUCGAGUAAACUCACGAACUACCAUCGUGACAGGGACUGAACCUUGUAAUUAUGGUUCACGAACGAGGAAUUUCUAGUAAGCGCUGGUCACCAUCCAGCGCUGAUUAUGUCUCUGCCCUUUGUACACACCGCCCGUCGCUACUACCGAUUGAAUGACUUAGCGAGAACUUGGUGGUAGCUUUUAAAUUCCCAAAAGAGUUUAUUAGCUACAAACUUGUUUGAGCUUGGUCGUUUAGAGGAAGUAAAAGUCGUAACAAGGUUUCCGUAGGUGAACCUGCGGAAGGAUCAU
rnacentral:rRNA from 1 species